UACAGAGGGGGCAAGCGUUAUUCGGAAUUAUUGGGCGUAAAGGGCGCGUAGGCGGCAUUGCAAGUGGAAGGUGAAAUCCCUCGGCUUAACCGAGGAACUGCCCUCCAAACUGCGUUGCUUGAGGCCGGGGAGAGGUGAGUGGAAUUCCCAGUGUAGCGGUGAAAUGCGUAGAUAUUGGGAGGAACACCAGUGGCGAAGGCGGCUCACUGGACCGGUUUC
rnacentral:rRNA from 1 species